ACAUCCAGAGAAUUUAGCAGAGAUGCUUUAGUGCCUUCGGGAACUCUGAGACAGGUGCUGCAUGGCUGUCGUCAGCUCGUGUUGUGAAAUGUUGGGUUAAGUCCCGNAACGAGCGCAACCCUUAUCCUUUGUUGCCAGCACGUAAUGGUGGGAACUCGAAGGAGACUGCCGGUGAUAAACCGGAGGAAGGUGGGGAUGACGUCAAGUCAUCAUGGCCCUUACGAGUAGGGCUACACACGUGCUACAAUGGCGCAUACAAAGAGAAGCGACCUCGCGAGAGCAAGCGGACCUCAUAAAGUGCGUCGUAGUCCGGAUUGGAGUCUGCAACUCGACUCCAUGAAGUCGGAAUCGCUAGUAAUCGUAAAUCAGAAUGUUACGGUGAAUACGUUCCCGGGCCUUGUACACACCGCCCGUCACACCAUGGGAGUGGGUUGCAAAAGAAGUAGAUAGCUUAACCUUCGGGAGGGCGUUUACCACUUUGUGAUUCAUGACUGGGGUGAAGUCGUAACAAGGUAAGCGUAGUGCU
rnacentral:rRNA from 1 species